AGCGAACGCUGGCGGCAGGCUUAGCACAUGCAAGCCGAACGCCCCGCAAGGGGAGUGGCAGACGGGUGAGUAACACGUGGGAACGUACCCUUUGGUUCGGAAUAACUUGGGGAAACUCAAGCUAAUACCGGAUAAGCCCUUAUGGGGAAAGGUUUACUGCCGAAGGAUCGGCCCGCGUCUGAUUAGCUAGUUGGUGAGGUAAUGGCUCACCAAGACGACGAUCAGUAGCUGGUCUGAGAGGAUGAUCAGCCACACUGGGACUGAGACACGGCCCAGACUCCUACGGGAGGCAGCAGUGGGGAAUAUUGGACAAUGGGGGCAACCCUGAUCCAGCCAUGCCGCGUGAGUGAUGAAGGCCUUAGGGUUGUAAAGCUCUUUUACCCGGGACGAUAAUGACUGUACCGGGAGAAUAAGCCCCGGCUAACUUCGUGCCAGCAGCCGCCGUAA
rnacentral:rRNA from 1 species